rnacentral:lncRNA from 1 species
AGCAUAAGCAUGCAGCAGUGAAUCCUUCAUUUGUCCAGACCCAGUCUCCAGGGCCACAGCUUCCUACACAGACAUCGCCCUGCCCAUCCGAUGGGGUUGUUAGCAUCUUUCUCUCCUCUUGAGGAAACACAACCGCUUGGGACUCAGUUCCUUUUUCAGAUUUAUGUCUUUCAGUCAAAGGCUAAAGCCAUCAAGAUGACUAAAGGUGUUUCCUGAUAAGCCUGACAGCCUUGGUUGGAUCUCAGGACUCACAUGGUAGAAGGAGAGAACUGAUCUUUGCAAACUGCCUACUAACCUCCACAUGUGGUGCACACAUGCAUAAAUUCAUAAAUAAAUUAAAUGAAAAACAAAAGUCAACUGAAAAGUAACUCAAGAAUAAACCUGCCAUCUUCUGUC